rnacentral:rRNA from 1 species
GACGAACGCUGGCGGCGUGCCUAAUACAUGCAAGUCGAACGCUUCUUUCCUCCCGAGUGCUUGCACUCAAUUGGAAAGAGGAGUGGCGGACGGGUGAGUAACACGUGGGUAACCUACCCAUCAGAGGGGGAUAACACUUGGAAACAGGUGCUAAUACCGCAUAACAGUUUAUGCCGCAUGGCAUAAGAGUGAAAGGCGCUUUCGGGUGUCGCUGAUGGAUGGACCCGCGGUGCAUUAGCUAGUUGGUGAGGUAACGGCUCACCAAGGCCACGAUGCAUAGCCGACCUGAGAGGGUGAUCGGCCACACUGGGACUGAGACACGGCCCAGACUCCUACGGGAGGCAGCAGUAGGGAAUCUUCUGCAAUGGACGAAAGUCUGACCGAGCAACGCCGCGUGAGUGAAGAAGGUUUUCGGAUCGUAAAACUCUGUUGUUAGAGAAGAACAAGGACGUUAGUAACUGAACGUCCCCUGACGGUAUCUAACCAGAAAGCCACGGCUAACUACGUG